GAAUAUUGGACAAUGGGCGAAAGCCUGAUCCAGCCAUGCCGCGUGUGUGAUGAAGGCCUUAGGGUUGUAAAGCACUUUUGUCCGGGAAGAUAAUGACUGUACCGGAAGAAUAAGCCCCGGCUAACUUCGUGCCCGCAGCCGCGGCAAUACGAAGGGGGCUAGCGUUGCUCGGAAUCACUGGGCGUAAAGGGCGCGUAGGCGGACUCUUAAGUCGGGGGUGAAAGCCCAGGGCUCAACCCUGGAAUUGCCUUCGAUACUGAGAGUCUUGAGUUCGGAAGAGGUUGGUGGAACUGCGAGUGUAGAGGUGAAAUUCGUAGAUAUUCGCAAGAACACCAGUGGCGAAGGCGGCCAACUGGUCCGAUACUGACGCUGAGGCGCGAAAGCGUGGGGAGCAAACAGG
rnacentral:rRNA from 1 species